UCGCUCUCUUUCUCUCUCUCACACACACACACAACUAAAAAUGUGUCUAAAAACAGAUUUACAACCACAAUUCCUUAGGCUACCAGUUUCAGUCGAGAGAAAUAGCACAUAUGCCAUUUAGCAGAUACUUUUAUCAAAAGCAACUUCGUCAUGGGCAUACAUUUUACAUUUGGGUGGCCCUGGGAAUUGAAGCCACAAGCCUAGCAAUGCUAACAUCAUGCUCUUCCAACCAAGUCGCACAGAACCGCAAUGACGUAGGCGACCAAGUACAUGUAUUGUCUUCAGAAAGUAUUCACACCCGUUGACUUUUUCCACAUUUUGUGCGUUACAGCCUGAAUUUAAAAUGGAUCAAAUUGCGAUGUAUUUUGUCACUGGACCACACACCAAUGUUAAAGAGGAAUUCUAUUUUUCAUUUUUUUUGUAAAGGACUGGGGAGUUUUUCAGGAUAAAAAAAAUGAACAGAAUGGAGCUAAACAUAGGCAAAAUACUAGAGGAAAACCUUGUUCAGUCUGCUUUCCACCAGAAACUGGGAGAUUAAUUCAACUUUCAGCAGGUCAAAUCUACACCGGAGUCGCUUACCAAGAAGACAGCGAAUGUGUCCGAGUUACAAUUUUGACUUAAAUCCGCUUGAAAAUCGAUGGCAAUACUUGAAAAUGGUUGGUAUCAAUGAUCAAACGCCAAUUUGACAGAGCUUGAAGAAUAAUGGGCAGAAGACAGAAAAAUGUACUGCUGUAAUAGCUGCCAAUGGUGAUUUUAACAUGUACUCAGAGGUGUGAAUAAUUAUGUAAAUGAAUAUUCAAUACAAAUUUUAAAAAGAAUCUAAAAACAUGGUUUCACUUUGUCAUUAUGGGGUGUUGUGUGUAGAUGGGAUUGUGUGUAAUGUGGAUUUUUAACAUUUUGAAGUCAGGCUGUAACACAACAAAAUGUGGAAUACGUCAAGGGAUAUGAAUCAUUUCUGAAGGCACUGUAACAUAAACAGACAAACAGAUUAGGGGCAGACGACAUUAAUUGGAAUUUGAUGCAAAUUGGAAAAAGUCCAAUGCUUUCACCAUUGACUGGAGGCUUUCACGGAUAUGUUCGAUUUUACUGUAGAAUUCUCUUGUAAUGGUACAAAUUAUGUGAUAGCUAAAAAGCAAUUAAAUCUUGUGUCCCUUGUGACAUAACGAGUUCUUAAAUUAAUAACAGGCGGUGUUCCGUGUGUUCUAUUUCUCAGAAUUCUUGUUCCAAACGGGAGAAUGGGGUCAUAAGAAGUGGCCUCUGUUCUGGGAAUAAUUUUGUAAAAAAUGUGGGGCGCACAUCGUAAUUCGGUCAUUUUAAAUGGUUGUAUAAAUUCGCCAGUUAACCAGAAGUGUAAUCAAUGCGCAGGGCCUCAAAAUGUAAAGCCUAACAAAUCGCAUUUUGUGACUUUGAAGACCCGCAGCUUUGUUGAUUGGAGCUGUUUGAAGGUAGGCGGCUUGGGCAGUUGGAGCGCAGUGCCCACCACCAACUCCAUGUCGACUUCGUUUAACUAAUUGGCAUAAAUGGCAGGUCCACAUUAUUAAUGAAUUCAUCUGGCUAUUGUUAAUAUAUAACACUAUCAAUUGUCUGAUACAGUGAAUUAGAGAAAUAGAGGGACAAAUAGAGAAAAUGUAACCAGGCAACUGGAUCAAUAAUAAAUCAACUUUAUUGCAUGGAAAACUAUGGGAUGGAUUCAAUCCGUAUUACUGUAGAUCCGUAAUUUCUGAUUGAGCCGACAUGUGCAGCGUGUACCAUGAAUGCAGUCUCUGCGACUGCGGGACCAUUGCCUUUAAUUGUCAAUCGCGCUAAAAAGCGGAUAUUCAGUGCUACGGAAUGAAUAGAGCCCAUACUUUCUUCCAAGGUUUCAGAGCUCUCAUGUUGUUGUUUUUUCAGCCUGUCUACAUACCUUUGAAGUGCAUUACAGUUGAAAUUGUCACCACACCCUUGGACAGUAAAUGUGAGGAAGGAGUAAGGAGCGGCAAUGAAAAGGGGCACAAAGAGUCAGCGACCUCGGUGACAUGUGAGAAUGAGGAGGACAUGGAUGAAGGGUUUACAGGGACUCUGCUACCUGCGAGAGAUGCUCCUUCGUGGAUGUGGGAGGGCUUCUCCAUAGAUGACUACAACCCAAAACCCCAACCCCAAGGUCCCCAACCAAAGAUCAUCACACCCAAACUGAAGGAAGAUAAGAGAUGCCUACCCAAAGUGACCGUGCCGCAGCCUUUCAAGAUGACCCUGCGUGAGGAGAGCGAGGGGCAGCUUAGGAAGGCCUGGGAGGAGACUGCCAACAAGCCCACAGCCACGCUGCCUCGAUUCAAAGCGAACCCUGUUCCCAAGAGCAACCAGUUGCCCUUGUAUGAUAAGAUCGUAGAGGAGUGUGAGAGGCAGAGAAAGGUUCUCUAUGAGAAACGGAGAGAUCUCAUGCUGGCCAUGCAACAGCCCUUUAACUUGGGGUCAAAGGUUGCACAUGGUUCUGCCAAGAGGAUGGCUGUAGCUGAGGGUGAUGGAGAUGGAACAGCAGCCAAGGAGGGAGACGAGGGACCAAAGCCGGAGAGUUCAGUUCCUGUCCGCUCCUAUAAGGACAUACUGAAAAGAUGUGCCCAGCUGGCUACUCGUCAUCCCCCUCCAAUGAGAGUGGAGAAGAAGCUCACUUUCCAACCCGUUAUCAACCGGACUAUACCUGACUUUGGGAGGUUGCACCACAGGUUUGAGGACCGUCUCAGGAGUGUCAGACAGGGAAUGCAUUCCACUGUGCCACAGCCUUUUAGUUUCCAGGUGAACGCUGGAGGGGAUCAGACUGUCAGUACGUCUAAGGAAACUCAAAAGCAUGGCAAGAAGGACCCAUGCCCCGUGGUGAAGUGGGAGCUAGCUAGAAUUCUGGCCAGCUCACAAAGACUUACCAAGUCUGCACUGCUACGAGAGGAGGCUGCGAAGAAGAGACUAGUAACGAGAGAGAAGAGACUGAGAGCAGAGCAGCAGAAGUCAGAAGCUGGCUGUAGUCUUCAGAAAAAAGUGGCCAAGUGGCUCAAUGCCCAGAAACAGCGCAGUACUGCCAGGGCACAGCGGCAACAACAGAACUACAGGUAUACCUCUUAAGACCAUGGAGGGGAGCUCUCAGAAUAUUACUACUCAGCCCUCCCUUUGUGUAACUUAGGAAGGAGAUGAAGGUGCGUAGUGCUGAGUAUCAAUCUGAGCUGGCAGACAUGAUGGAGAGAGUGAACAGUAGACCACUGCUGCUCCAGCGCCACUGGCAGACCCGGAGAGAGGCAGACAAGCGUUUCUCCCUGAUCCUGGAGCGGGCUGGGCUGGACGAAGCUCUGCUGUGGAGCAAGGCUAUGCUCCAGGAACAGGGCCAGCGUUUACAGCUGGAGGCCACAGAGGAAGCCUAGGAGGGCACUGAUACUGAUCUCCAUGAGGAGCUUGCAGACUCCUCUGAGGGACGAACCCUGACAAAGACAUGUUUUUACUAGUGUAUUAAAUUACAAGUGUUUGAUCACA